GUCAUCAAGGCGCGUCCUCAACUAGAGGGUUUGUUUUGAUUCCACGGCAGACAGUAGCGAGUAGCGACCGUAGCGACUGACGAUGGCAGACCAAAGUGGUCCAUGGCGUACUGAAACUGCACCAUUCAGUCCGAUUAGGGGACUCAUCUCGGACUCAGACUCACAGAGUUACCCUCCUCUGGAGCCUCAGGAAGACCUCCAGACUGUUGGCCACCAACUGCACCAUUCAGUCCGACAAGGGGACCCGAUUCGGCCUCGGAAGCCAAGUGGUCCCGCUCCCCUGGAUGAUUCUCAGGACCUCCAGACCGAUGGCAACCAACCACACCACUUAGUCCGAUUAGGGGACCCGUUUCGGACUCAGACGCGAAGUUGUCCCGCUACUCUGGAGCUCCGGGAAGACCUCCAGACCGUUGGCACCCAACCGCACAACUCAGUCCGAUUACGGGACCCAUUUCGGACUCAGACGCGACGUUGUCCCGCUACUCUGGAGCUACAGGAAGACCUCCAGACCGUUGGCACCCAACCGCACAACUCAGUCCGAUUACGGGACCCAUUUCGGACUCAGACGCGACGUUGUCCCGCUACUCUGGAGCUACAGGAAGACCUCCAGACCGUUGGCACCCAACCGCACCACUCAGUCCGAUUAGGGGACCCAUUUCGGACUCAGACGCGACGUUGUCCCGCUACUCUGGAGCUACAGGAAGACCUCCAGACCGUUGGCACCCAACCGCACCAUUCAGUCCGAUUAGGGGACCCAUUUCGGCCUCAGACGCUACGUUGUCCCGCUACUCUGUUUGUAAUGCUCAUACACCUUUCUUAUACUCAGUGGGACCACUGUCCUUCAACAUGGGACCUCAAAACGGUAUCACACGAAGCCCAUAAAAUAACAGGAGCCAGCAGCAUACUGCUCAAUUUAUUAAACUGAGGGGGGAGAACAACGAGCUCUUCACCGAGGUGAAACAUUCAGCGAGUGUGGCUUGGGGGACAAUUCUGGAGAAAAUAGGCCUGCAGUGGAAGGUGACUCCCCUGCAGGCAAAGAAAAAAAUGGGAUAAUUAAAAAAAUAUACAUAAAGAUUGCAAGUAUCCAGGGUCAGGAGAGGGGGUAGGUGGGAAACCCACUGCUGCCACUUGGCCCUGGUUUGUCCUCAUGGAUGAGGUAUUGGGACAGAGGCAUUCCACAAACCCCCCUGUCCUAAUUGCCUCCAUCCCUGAGAACACACCAGGGCCAAGUACAGCAGUGGUGGAUCAGGAGGUGGAGGACAAGGAUGAGGAAGAAAGACAGCGGCCAAGGUCCAGAAAGAGGGACAGAGAGGACGAAAUGUUCCAAUUGAUCAAAGAGGACAUGAGGCUAAAUAGGGAGGCAGAGGAGAGAAGAGCCCAGGAGAGAAGGGAGAGGAUGGAUCGAUUUUUUUCAAUUUUGGAG
ensembl:lncRNA